CUGCGCAGGCGCUUGUGCGCAGGGCCUGUGCGGGUUCAGCACUGGUUGACUCAUGGAUGACAGUUCUUCACGGACUGUCGUACGGUCAACGUCUCUCCCGGCGGUCCCUUUUAGCACGGAGCGUGUGGAGUGCAACCAAUACAGAUUGCAACCAUUGCAAUGCAUAUUAAACACUGAAAGUCAUCUUAAAAAAAGUGCAUAACAAAAGUGAAUUAGCUCAAUAUAAAAGAGAAAAAAAAGAUAAGAAAAUAAAAGAUAAUCAGAAAGAAAGAAAAAGAAAACGAACCACAGAAAUAUCAACAACAGACAGAAUAGUGUGAAAGAAAGAAAGAUAAAGAAAGAGAAGUGAAAAAAACAGAAUUAAGUUCACACAUCCAACUCCCACUUUUCGCUUCGUGACCCGUCGUUCAGUAAGCGGGCGGCCUGUGGGUUCUCCUGGGGACUUGAGUGAAUAUAGUCCUUUCUUAUAGUGUAUAGUGAGUGUUUCGUAAGUCACAGUGAGGGAGAGUUGACAGUGUGACGCGCCGGGCGGAAAGGAUGGCGGCGCUCAGAGGAUACGCGAUGGACGGAGUAAAGGUGUUGCUGCUGACGGCGAUCGUGUUCUCGACGUGUUUCAACCAGGCUGAAUCAGGUCAGUUCUCUGGUCAAUGUGGACGUGAGGUCACUUCGUAGACAGUGCUGAGGGAGGUACAGUGGUAUAAUUUUAUAUGGUGUGUGUGUAUGUGUGUGUGUACGUGUAUGUGCGUGUGUGUGUGUAC